rnacentral:pre_miRNA from 1 species
UACAUACUCCCUCCGUUCGGAAUUACUCGUCCAAGAAAUGAAUGUAUCUAGAUGUAUUUUAGUUGUAGAUACAUCCAUUUUUGUGACAAGUAAUUCCAAAUGGAGGGAGUACUAC